GACGAACGCUGGCGGCGCGCUUAACACAUGCAAGUCGAGCGAUGAAGUUCCUUCGGGAAUGGAUUAGCGGCGGACGGGUGAGUAACACGUGGGUAACCUGCCUCAUAGAGGGGAAUAGCCUUUCGAAAGGAAGAUUAAUACCGCAUAAGAUUGUAGUUUCGCAUGAAACAGCAAUUAAAGGAGUAAUCCGCUAUGAGAUGGACCCGCGUCGCAUUAGCUAGUUGGUGAGGUAACGGCUCACCAAGGCGACGAUGCGUAGCCGACCGGAGAGGGUGAUCGGCCACAUUGGGACUGAGACACGGCCCAGACUCCUACGGGAGGCAGAAGUGGGGAAUAUUGCACAAUGGGGGAAACCCUGAUGCAGCAACGCCGCGUGAGUGAUGGCGGUCUUCGGAUUGUAAAACUCUGUCUUCAGGGACGAUAAUGACGGUACCUGAGGAGGAAGCCACGGCUAACUACGUGCCAGCCGCCGCGGUAACAC
rnacentral:rRNA from 1 species